rnacentral:tRNA from 1 species
GACCCCUUCGUCUAGCGGUUAGGACACCGGCCUUUCACGCCGGCAACACGGGUUCGAUCCCCGUAGGGGUCACCA